rnacentral:rRNA from 1 species
AUUGAACGCUGGCGGAAUGCUUUACACAUGCAAGUCGAACGGCAGCACGGACUUCGGUCUGGUGGCGAGUGGCGAACGGGUGAGUAAUAUCUCGGAACGUAUCCAAUAAUGGGGGAUCACUAAUCGAAAGGUUGGCUAAUACCGCAUACGUCCUACGGGAGAAAGCUAGGGACCUUCGGGCCUGGCGUUAAUGGAGCGGCCGAUAUCUGAUUAGCUAGUUGGUGAGGUAAUGGCUCACCAAGGCGACGAUCGGUAGCUGGUCUGAGAGGAUGGUCAGCCACACUGGUACUUAGACACGGACCAGACUCCUACGGGAGGCAGCAGUGGGGAAUAUUGCGCAAUGGGCGAAAGCCUGACGCAGCAACGCCGCGUGGGUGAUGAAGGCCUUCGGGUCGUAAAGCCCUGUCAGAUGGGAAGAAACCUAGUAAUAGCUGACGGUACCAUCAAAGGAAGCACCGGCUAACUCCGUGCCAGCAGCCGCCGUAAAAC